CAGGAGCCCUGACUCUCUCCCCUCCAUUUUGUCUUUUUCCCAGAAAUGCUCUCCUGGACCCUGGGUUCUGUGAGACACAGUUUAAUAGUCUGAGGAUGAAAGAACACCUAGAUGCAGUUCCCUCCCUCAAGUUUUCCAAAUUGACACUACUGCACUUUUUCAUGUGGCCCAGAGGAUCCUCCUUUCUGCCCUGGAUGAAGAGGACAACGUUUCUUAGUUCCACUGACGUGAGUGACUGACCACUUUGGCACCCAUGGAGUCACCAUCUCAAAUACACUUUGAAAAUGCUCAGGAGAAAGUCGGAAUCUUGGUAUUAUGGGUACAAACAGCAUAACCCAGCCGUGAUCUAACUGAAUAAGAGAUUGGUUUCUCUGUGUCAAUCAGCCCUCUGUCUUUUGAGUCCCCGUCUCAGGCUGCAGUCCUGUCAUUGAGACAAUGAAAGGAACAGUACCUUUCCAGGUGCCACAGAGAGACUGAGAGACUUCAUCAGCUCACUCUCCAUUGAUAGGACUUUUCCUUAAAUUAUUUCUUAGUUACCCAAGAGAGGAGCAUGAGCAGACAGAGAUAACAAGUAUAUAUAAACUUCAAGGCUCAGCUUUCCAGGCCAGACUUGCUUUAUCCAUUCUGUACCCAGCACCCAACACAGGACCUGGCCCACAGAAAUUGCUCUGGGAAUGUUUGUUGGGUGAAUGAAGAAAGGAACCAAAAAGAUGAAAACACACACUCACCUUGGGUUUGGCACUGAGGCUGAGUCUGGGAGGAAGAGCGUGGUGCAUCGGAGUUUGGCAUAAAUGGAAUACAUUGGAGCAGUGCUUCUCAAACUCUCUGUGGGGAGAGGGAGAGCCUAGACUCCUCUCGUAUCUCU
rnacentral:lncRNA from 1 species